CCGACCUUGUUCUCCGCUACACACGAAUACCCAGCCAUGUCUGAAACCUGGACACUGAGAAGCUGUAAGUUAGGACACAAGCGUUAUUCUUCACUAUAGAACGUUACGGUUGGAUCUGUCUAUUUGCUGGCAACGGUGCACAAAGGUCAGAGAUAACUAACUUGAAGCUGAGUCCCAUCCUCACUGAUGUGGUGCUGUGAGUCCAUGUGCACCGGCUGCCCUUCUCUCAGCCAGGAGACGACUGGAGCUGGAUGUCCAAUCACGUCACAGUGUAGAACCACGGUGCUGUUAACCACUGCUCCUAUCUCCUCCAUAAACUCCUUUGAUGCUCCAGUAAUAACAGGAGGGACUAUGGAAGUUAAACACAACUGAAAUUAUUAAGUUACAUCUCUAUAAUCACAGAUUUUAUUAUGCAAACAUUUUAAUUACAUCUAACUUAGGUAUAUGUACUCACUUACCUAGAAUCUCCAGAUCAAAGUGCAUGCGAUCCUCCCCUGCCUCAUUAACAGCCUGACACGUAUACCUUCCAGCAUCCUCCUUCUGCACUCGGGCAAUUUGUAGCACUUGUCCCCCUGUCAUACAUUAAAAAUGACUCCUCAGUUACAUAUAACAACUGCACUAGUGGUUUUACAUGAGGUUUUACAGAGUUUUCCCUGACCUGGAAGAAGCACCACUCCAUCUGCAGAGGUUAACUUUUUGCCGUCUUUAUACCAGCUGAGCUUGGGAGGGGGAAUGGCAUUGCUCUCACAGGACAGGCUGAUUUGAUGGCCUAGCACAACUUCCCGCUUCUCCACCACGUUCUCAUCAUUAAGGUCGUCUUCGUGUCCCAAACCCCAGGAUGCUUCCCUGUUAUUCACCCGGUGGAAAAUCGGAGGGACUAAAGAGACAGCGGCACAUUAGAGCCAGAUUGCUUUCUAUACAAAGAGUUGGUGACCACACAGGUGUACUGACCCUCAUGGGACAGCAUGGCAUUCUCUAUGUGAAGGAAGUGGCCGCUCUCUUUAAUGCCAGCAUGGAUGUUUCCAGUCAGCAGCUAAAACACAAAGAAAAUACACAGUUAAUGUGAAGUAUUGCUCGCAGGAAUCUGUGGGUUGAUGAAUAAAUAAAAC
ensembl:lncRNA